UCAGCAGUCCAAAAUAUUAGUCAAUGCUCGAAAGAGUGAACUAGCUAACUGAAAUCAAUUUAAAAAAUUGAUAACAUAAGGGAAAAUAAUGAUAUUACCUUAUUAUUAGUGUCGUCCAAAUCUGGUGCCAGAAGACUCGGUAAGGCCAGAGACACAAACGUUAAUCGUCUUAAUCAGGCGUAAAGGGUUUGUAGGCGGCUUUAAAAAUUAUAAAAUAAAAUAAAAAUUAUUUAAUAAUUAAAGAAUAAAAGCUAGAAUCAAAAAGAGGAUAUAUUAAAGAAUGCUUAGAGCAGGUCUAAUAUCCUUAGAUACUAAGUAGAAUAUUAAAGGCGAAAGCUUUUUUCCAAUAAUGAUUGACGCUCAGAAACGAAGGUGAGGAUAGGAAAUAGGAUUAGAUACCCAAAAUACCCCUCUCUGUCAACGAUGAAUGGUAGUUAUUAAUAAAAAUUAUUAUUAAUGACAAUGUUAACACGAUAACCAUUCCGCCUUGUGAGUACAACUGCAAAGUUGAAAACAAAAAAAUUAGUCGGUUUCGGAGCAAACGAAGUGAAGCAUGUUAUUUAAUUCGAUAAUCCGCAAAAACUGAAAA
rnacentral:rRNA from 1 species